AAGGUCCUAGUUUAAUUAAAGCAUCUGAGUUGCAUUCAGGGGAUGCAGGAUAGUGCCCUGCGGAUCUUA
rnacentral:tRNA from 2 species